UACGUAGGGAGCAAGCGUUGUCCGGAAUCAUUGGGCGUAAAGCGCGCGUAGGCGGCCCUGUAAGUCCGUUGUGAAAGUCAAAGGCUCAACCUUUGAAAGCCGAUGGAUACUGCAGGGCUAGAGUCCGGAAGAGGCGAGUGGAAUUCCUGGUGUAGGCGGUGGAAUGCGCAGAUAUCAGGAGGAACACCAAUAGCGAAGGCAGCUCGCUGGGACGGUACUGACGCUAAGGCGCGAAAGCGUGGGGAGCGAACGAGG
rnacentral:rRNA from 1 species